CCUACGGGUGGCAGCAGUGAGGAAUAUUGGUCAAUGGCCGGAAGGCUGAACCAGCCAUGCCGCGUGAAGGUCAGUGCCCUAUGGGCGUUAAACUUCUUUUGUGCGGGAGCAAUAAUGGUCACGUGUGGCCAGACGAGAGUACCGUACGAAUAAGCAUCGGCUAACUCCGUUCCAGCCGCCGCGGUAAUACGGGGGAUGCAGGCGUUAUCCGGAUUUAAUGGGUUUAAAGGGUGCGUAGGUUGUGAGGUAAGUCAGAGGUGAAAUGCCCCCGCUCAACGGGGUGAAGUGCCAUUGAUACUGGCAGGCUGGAAUGCGGAUGCCGUGGGAGGAAUGUGUGGUGUAGCGGUGAAAUGCAUAGAUAUCACACAGAACACCGAUUGCGAAGGCAUCUCACGAAUCCGCGAUUGACGCUGAUGCACGAAAGCGUGGGUAUCAAACAGGAUUAGAUACCCUUGUAGUC
rnacentral:rRNA from 1 species